GAUGAAGAACGUAGCGAAAUGCGAUAAGUAGUGUGAAUUGCAGAAUUCAGUGAAUCAUCGAAUCUUUGAACGCACAUUGCGCCCCUUGGUAUCCCGAGGGGCAUGCCUGUUCGGGCGUCAUUUCACCACUCAAGCCUGGCUUGGUGUUGGGCGACGUCCUCUUUGGGGACGCGCCUCGAAACGCUCGGCGGCGUGGCACCGGCUUUAAGCGUAGCAGAAUCUUUCGCUUUGGAAGUCGGGGCCCCGUCUGCCGGAAGACCUGCUCGCAAGGUUGACCUCGGAUCAGGCAGGGAUACCCGCUGAACUUAAGCAUAUCAAUAAGCGGAGGA
rnacentral:misc_RNA from 1 species